rnacentral:Y_RNA from 1 species
GGCUGGUCCAAUGAUAAUGGGUUAUUAGAACUUAUUAACAUUUACAUUAGUGUCACUAAAGCUGGUUGGUAUACAACCCCUCACUGCUAAAUCUGACUGGCUUAAA